AAAACAUGUCCUUCAGAAUUUUAAUUUAAGGUCUAUCCUGCUCAAUGAUUAUUAUUAAAUAGCCGCAGUAUUAUGACUGUGCGAAGGUAGCAUAAUCAUUUGUUUUUUAAUUGAAAGCUUGAAUGAAUGGUUGGACGAGAAAUUAACUUUUUUUAUUUAAAUUUUAUGAAUUUAAUUUUUUAGUUAAAAAGCUUAAAUUUUAUUGCAAGACGAGAAGACCCUGUAGAAUUUUAUUUUAUUAUAUAAAUUAAUUUUUUUGUUUAAUAAUAUAUUAAUAUUUUUAAUAAAAUUUGGUUGGGGCGAUUAUGAAAAUUAAAUAACUUUCAUUUUUAAUUAUUCAUAAAUUAAUGUAUAUUUUGAUCCUGUAUUUAUGGAUUAUAAGAUUAAAUUACCUCAGGGAUAACAGCGUAAUUUUUUCGGAGAGUUCUUAUUGAUGAAUAAAGUUUGCGACCUCGAUGUUGGAUUAAAGAAAGUUUUUGGUGCAGAGGCUAAAUAA
rnacentral:rRNA from 1 species